UAUAUAUUUUGCUCAAUGAUUUAACGUUUUUUUUCUAUAAUAGCUAAGGUUAAGCUAGGAGAUAAGUGAAAAUUCAUCAUCUAAGCAGGUUAGAGGUAUUGAAUCACUUGUUUACUCACAAGACACAUAACACCUAACUAUGAAGAAAAUUGUAUUUAUAAUUGUGGCCGUUAUUACUUCGGCGGUAGUAUCUUAUCCCGUUUUAAAUGAUCCCAAACCAAACACAGACGGGUAUACAACAACUAUACAUCAAUCAGAAAUUAAGAUAAAACCGAGAGCGAAUGGUUAUCCUUUGUUUUUUAAUCAAAUGGACGAUAAAGCAAAGGAACCUUCGAAGACGAACUCUGGAGGCCAUCUAUUCUCACAAGUCACAAAUAAAGCCACAGAUUUAGCCGAAACUACAAGAUCUGUCUUUGAGAAGGAACCAAUCACAAACAUAAAGAGGCUUUCUCCUAUUCGAUUGAAAUUCUAUCCGAAACCGCAAGGAAAUGAAGAAGCACGAAAACGUCCUAAAGAAUUAACGAUUUCCUUGCCCCGCUUCAAAACCGACAGAAAGGGAAAAUGGGUGUAUAACCCCUGGGGUGUCACCUACGCCGAUGUGUGGAGGCUGACUAUGCCAGAUAUAAGAGAUUAUAAUUAUGAUUUCAGAGCCAAAAACGUAUAUAAAACUAAAUUCCCAUUCGAUGAAGUGUGCUUUGGUAGAUCGACAGUGUAUAACAUUCCACCAGUAACGGCGUGGCUUUCUAAAAGGCUUAAAAAUUUGUCUGGAAGUGGUAAUUUGAAUGCUAAACCACUCCAUGUAGAUCUCAGACUGGAAAUAUACCUUCAAGGCAAAUCGGAGGCCUGCCACACAAAUCAGUAUGUGGAAUAUCGGCCGUACCUCGAAUGUGCCAUUUUGCGGCAUAUGAGGAUGGAGUAUUUGAUGCCAAUGUAUCCAAUGAUUCAAAUCGGAAAUAUAUGGAUGUAUAAUACAGUUUUGGGCUGAGACAUCUGAAGUAGGUCAGCGGUGUUGAAACACUUGUUAACCAACUAUGAAGAAUAUUGUAUUUAUAAUUGUGGCGGUAGGUUUAUUUGAACUAUACAUUAAAAAUAUUCUUAUUCGGCACGUGGAUCAAUACAAAUAAACAAUAUAAACACGUGCCGGGUAAAAAUAUUUUUAAUGUGUAAUUUUUUAUAAAUAUAUUGAAUUUAUAUUUAUGUAUUUAUUCUAGAGCAAAUGAAAUAUAUUAUUAAUAUUAAGAAAUAUACUUAAGAGAUGAUUGAAAACACAUCAUCUAAGCAGGUCAGAGGUAUUGAAUCACUUGUUAACUCAGUCACACACAAUACACAUAAUACCCAAUUAUGAAGAACAUUGUAAUUAUAUUUGUGGCCGUAGGUUUAUUUUAAUUAAAUAAAGGAAAAUAUUUUUAAUGACUUUAUAACUAGGUCAUUACUUCGGCAGUAGUAUCUUAUCCCGUUUUAAAUGAUCCUAAACCAAACACAGACGAGUAUUUAACAACUAUACACCAUUCAGAAAUUGAGAUAAAACCGACGCCGAAUUUUUAUCCUUUGUUUUUUAAUCAAAUCGACGAUAAAGCAAAGGAACCUUCGGGGACAAACUCUGGAAGUCAUCUAUUUUCCAACAGUUUUGGCAAAGUCACAAAUAAAGCCACAGAUAUAGCCGAAACUACAAGAUCUAUCUUUGAGAAGGAACCUAUUACAAGCAUAAAGAGGCUUUUUCCUAUUCGAUUGAAAUUCUAUCCGAAACCGCAAGAAAAUGAAGAAAAACCUUCUAAAAAACCUGCUAAAGAAUUAACGAUUUCCUUGCCCCGCUUCAAAACCGACAGUAAGGGAAAAUGGGUGUAUAACCCUUGGGGUGUCACCUACGCCGAUGUGUGGAGGCUGACUAUGCCAGAUAUAAGAGAUUUUAACUAUGAUUUCAGAGCCAAAAAAGUAUAUAAAACUAAAUUCCCAUUCGAUGAAGUGUGCUUUGGUAGAUCAACAGUGUAUAACAUUCCACCAGUAACGGCGUGGCUUUCUAAAAGGCUUAAAAAUUUGUCUGGAAGUGGUAAUUUGAAUGCUAAACCACUCCAUGUAGAUCUCAGACUGGAAAUAUACCUUCAAGGCAAAUCGGAGGCCUGCCACACAAAUCAGUAUGUGGAAUAUCGGCCGUACCUCGAAUGUGCCAUUUUGCGGGAUAUGAGGAUGGAGUAUUUGUUGCCAAUGUAUCCAAUGAUUCAGGUCGGAAAUAUAUGGAUGUAUAAUAUAGUUUUUACCUGAGAUAUCUGAAGUAGCUCAGAGGUAUUGAAACAUUUGUUAACCAACUAUGAAGAAUAUUGUAUUUAUAAUUGUGGCGAUAGGUUUAUUUAAACUAUACAUUAAAAAUAUUCUUAUUCGGCACGUGGAUCAAUAAAAAUAAACAAUAUAAAUACGUGCCGGGUAAAAAUAUUUUUUAUGUGUAAUUUUUUAUAAAUAUAUUGCAUUUUUAUUUAUGUAUCUAUUCUAGAGAAAAAUAAAUAUAUAAUUAAUAUCAAAAAAUAUACUUAAGGGAUAAUUGAAAACACAUCGUCUAAGCAGGUCAGAAGUAUUGAAUCACUUGUUAACUCAGUCACACACAAUACACAUAAUACCCAAUUAUGAAGAACAUUGUAAUUAUGUUUGUGGCCGUAGGUUUAUUUGAAUUAAAUAAAGGAAAAUAUUAU